UACACACGUGCUACAAUGGUUGGUACAACGAGUUGCGAGUCGGUGACGGCGAGCUAACUCUCUUAAAGCCAAUCUCAGUUCGGAUUGUAGGCUGCAACUCGCCUACAUGAAGUCGGAAUCGCUAGUAAUCGCGGAUCAGCACGCCGCGGUGAAUACGUUCCCGGGCCUU
rnacentral:rRNA from 1 species